rfam:Salmo salar isolate Sally breed double haploid chromosome ssa02, whole genome shotgun sequence.
CGCGCGCAUGACUGUAAGUCGCUUUGGAUAAAAGCAUCUGCCAAAUGACACAUA